UGAAAAUUUGUUUAGUUUUGCAGCUCUUCAAACUUUUUUAAAAUAUCUAAAUACUUCGAGGAAGGAAAAUGAAAAUCUUACCAAUUAUAAACUAAACUUUUAAGCCACACAGCUUGGGAAUUACAAUACAAAGUAAAAAAUUAUAAACAAACAAAAAAAUUCUAACAGCGGUCGUUGCUCGACAGGCAAUUGGGAAACCACUGUCCAAUAAAAAAAAGCAUCUGCAGUUGGUAGCCGCUUCAGUUUGCGUAAGAGCAUUGAGACGCACACCACAAUUGGAGGAAAAGCACGAUGAAGAUUCAAUUGUCAAAUUUGCUGAAACAAUAGGUUAUAAAUUUUUCUUAAAGCGUGCUAUAGUUAUUUUAGAACAAAAAAUUAACUUAAAGCUUAACAACCAGCUGAAGCCGAAGUGCUUAGAAUACUUAUGAAAGUAUAACAGAUUCAUCGUAGGAGUCGUCCGAAGUUUCUUUGGUAUCCGUGAAAUGUAAUAGAGAAAUUCUUGAAAUUUUAAUCAGACUAGAAAAAUAUUCUUAAGGAGUCAACUACUGGACUUUUUCCGGACAAGAGUGGCUCAGAUUUGAUGGAUAAUAAACUAUUUACAUAUUCAUACAGUGUUACUCUCCUUCGAAAUGUAUAGGCUCUUUAAAGACUAUAAGGAAUCUGAAUAUAAAUAGUAUAUGAAAUAUUAGCUGCUCUUUUUUUAAUUUUUUCCAGAAUAGUCGGGUAGUUGUUCUAGCAACUGCAUACAAAUUCCCCAGCGAGUUUUGGAGAAUGACGCUGGGGUUACGGUCCUUGGCAGGUAUAUGUAUCUGGGCCGUUCCGACUACGUAGACCCAACUGUCGUGUGAGCGUGUUGGGUAAUUAGCCUCGCUUUCCUAGACCUUCCAGUCAAAUUCUAGUCGAGUCAUCUUCUGGACCAUUCGUUGUAGUUUUUCUCCACUGUUUAACGAGAAGAAUAUGCUUAAGGCCACGAGUGGAGAAAAAAAGAGAGUAAGAGAGAGAGUGAGGGUUUAAAAAAUUAGCGCUCAUUGCAGCCAUUGCAUUUCCUUAAGCAGCACGGGUGAAAGAGUGCGUUUCAGAGCCAGAGGUGUACAUAUAUUCUGAUUCGUGGGUAUGUAAAGGUGAGAGUGCGAGAGCGUCAGGUCAGUGUAUGGCCAUUGGGGAUUACUGGGAAAGAUUGCGCGCGCACAUGCAUGCCGACACGAAAGGCGGAGCAAGGGGGUCACGAGUGCAUACCCAUACACAAACAAAUUAAAUUUUUUUAAUUUUUCUGGGCGAGCACUUUUUACUUGCGCGCGCUGACUGUUUUGUGUAUCUUUUUUACCAACACGCAAGCACAUUUUUCAAGCGAGCAGCAAGCGCCAAUAAGUGUGAGUGCAUUCGGGCGCUGGCAGGGAGCGCGCGCACUCUCAAGUAUGGCAUGGAUAUGUACAACUUGUUAAUGCCAGUUGCAAGAUACACACAGCGCUUGUAAGCGCAUGUGUGAAUAUUUGUGUUUGGUGUGGCAGCAAAGUGCAUUUGUAUUAAUACAUACAUAUAUGCAAGCGCUUGCUUAUGUAGUGCGCCUCAAAACAUGCAUAUCUUUAUAUUGCGCCGGAGAGCGUUUGGGAGCAAUCCCACUUUUUGUGAAUGUACGUAUGCGUGAAUUUUUUAGCUUCGAUUGUACGAAGCUUACAAAAUAAAUUUCGUUUUGUUCGUGGACGAUUGCUCCCGUCUUGCAUUCCCGGUGCUUCGGCGUGCCCCCCUUCCCAAUCAACGCUUUGCUCACCAAAAUGAGCCCGCUGCGCUUGUUGUUGCAUGCAUAUGUUUGUGUAGUGAUACUUUUUUUUGCUUAGCCAUUGCCUGCUCGCCUGCCUGCCUGUGUUUUUCGAUUUUUGCCGCGCUCGUUCAGCUUCAGUACGUCGUUCACAUUUAAUCCGUUCGGUGCUUUUUGACUGUUUGGAACCUUUUUAAUAAUUACGUUGAAACGUUGUUGAUUCUUAUUAAAUAUUGUUUUGUUGAAUCUGAGGACGAACAAAAACAAAAACAAAUCCCAAUCAAAGUCAAGGAAACCAACAUAUGGAAAGGCAACUCUAGGACAAA